CGGCCUCCCAAAGUGCUGGGUUUACAGGUGUGAGCCACCGUGCCCAGCCAGAAAGGAGUUUUUAUCCCAAUUUCCAGAGAGUUGAAACGGGGCUGUUUCAGAACACAAUGCAGGAUGCUUAACCACUGACCUGAAGAGAUUAGGACUCAGACACGCACAGAGGAAAGACCAUGUGAGGACACAGGGAGAAGGUGGCAUUCACAAGUCAAGAAGAGAGGUCUCCAAAGAAACCCAACCCUGCCAGCACUGUGAUCUAGGACUUCCAGCCUUCAG
rnacentral:lncRNA from 1 species